rnacentral:lncRNA from 1 species
AAGUUAAAAAUAAAAAGAGAUGAUGGUAAAAUAGAAGAAGAAACAAAGCUAACAGAAAUGAAUGAGAAAGGGAGGUACAUAAAAAAAAGGAGAGGGUUUUGGGGGAAAAAAUGUCUUCUUUCCAACAAAAGUAAAGAGCAUUAAUGGAGGGUUUAGGAAGAAAAAAAAGUUGAAAAGAAAACUUUUUCUUUCCAAAGCCCUCCCUUUUUUUACAUUCAUAGUUA